rnacentral:rRNA from 1 species
AACCUGCGGAGGGAUCAUUACACAAUAAAAUACGAAGGCCGUUCGCGGCUGGACUAUUUAUUACCCUUGUCUUUUGCGCACUUGUUGUUUCCUGGGCGGGUUCGCUCGCCACCAGGACCACAAUAUAAACCUUUUUUAUGCAGUUGCAAUCAGCGUCAGUAUAACAAAUGUAAAUCAUUUACAACUUUCAACAACGGAUCUCUUGGUUCUGGCAUCGAUGAAGAACGCAGCGAAAUGCGAUACGUAGUGUGAAUUGCAGAAUUCAGUGAAUCAUCGAAUCUUUGAACGCACAUUGCGCCCUUUGGUAUUCCAAAGGGCAUGCCUGUUCGAGCGUCAUUUGUACCCUCAAGCUUUGCUUGGUGUUGGGCGUUUUUGUCUUUGGCCCGCCAAAGACUCGCCUUAAAAUGAUUGGCAGCCGGCCUACUGGUUUCGCAGCGCAGCACAUUUUUGCGCUUGCAAUCAGCAAAAGAGGACGGCAAUCCAUCAAGACUCCUUCUCACGUUNGACCUCGNAUCAGGUAGGGAUACCCGCUGAACUUAAGCAUAUCAAUA